rnacentral:rRNA from 1 species
GAUGAACGCUGGCGGCGUGCCUAAUACAUGCAAGUAGAACGCAGUUGCGAACGGGUGAGUAACGCGUAGGUAACUGCCUCAUAGCGGGGGAUAACUAUUGGAAACGAUAGCUAAUACCGCAUACCGUGAGAUGGACCUGCGUUGUAUUAGCUAGUUGGUGAGGUAAAGGCGCACCAAGGCGACGAUACAUAGCCGGCCUGGGAGGGUGAACGGCCCAACUGGGACUUGGGCACGGCCCAGGAUCCUUCCGGAGGCAGCAGGUGGGAAACUUCGGGAAUUGGGGGAAGGCUGACCGAGCAACGGCGGCUGAGUGGAGAAGGUUUUCGGAUCGUAAAGCUCUGUUGUUAGAGGAGCGGUACCUAACCAGAAAGGGACGGCUAACUACGUGCCAGCCGCCGCGAUAAUAC